rnacentral:rRNA from 1 species
GACGAACGCUGGCGGCGCGCUUAACACAUGCAAGUCGAGCGAGAUCCAGGCCUUCGGGCCUGGGGACAGCGGCGAACGGGUGAGUAACACGUGGGUAAUCAACCCUCGACACUGGGAUAGCCCGGGGAAACCCGGAUUAAUACCGGAUGGCCCUUCGGAUCUUCGGAUCUGACGGGAAAGGUAGCUUCGGCCUCCGGUCGAGGACGAGCCCGCGGCGGAUUAGCUUGUUGGUGGGGUAACGGCUCACCAAGGCGACGAUCCGUAGCUGGUCUGAGAGGACGAUCAGCCACACUGGGACUGAGACACGGCCCAGACUCCUACGGGAGGCAGCAGUGGGGAAUCUUGCGCUAAUGCGGGCAACCGUGACGCAGCGACGCCGCGUGAGGGAAGAAGGCCUUCGGGUUGUAAACCUCUUUCAGGAGGGACGAAGCCACUCGGGUGAAUAGCCCAGAGGGUGACGGUACCUCCAGAAGAAGCCCCGGCUAACUACGUGCCAGCAGCCGCUGUAAAAC